rnacentral:tRNA from 1 species
GGAGAGGUGUCCGAGCGGCCGAAGGAGCACGACUGGAAAUCGUGUGUACCCGAAAGGUACCAAGAGUUCGAAUCUCUUCCUCUCCGCCA